rnacentral:rRNA from 1 species
AGAAUCAACGCUGGCGGCGUGCCUAACACAUGCAAGUCGAACGAGAAAGUGGGAGCAAUCCAUGAGUAAAGUGGCGCACGGGUGAGUAACACGUGACUAACCUACCCUUGAGUGGGGGAUAACCUAGGGAACCUGGGCUAAUACCGCAUAAUACCUUCGGGUCAAAGGAGCAAUUCGCUUAAGGAGGGGGUCGCGGCCGAUUAGUUAGUUGGCGGGGUAAUGGCCCACCAAGACUGUGAUCGGUAU